rnacentral:rRNA from 1 species
UACGGGGGGGGCAAGCGUUGUUCGGAAUUACUGGGCGUAAAGGGCUCGUAGGCGGCCAACUAAGUCAGACGUGAAAUCCCCAGGCUCAACCUGGGAACUGCGUCUGAUACUGGAUGGCUUGAAUUCGGGAGAGGGAUGCAGAAUUCCAGGUGUAGCGGUGAAAUGCGUAGAUAUCUGGAGGAAUACCGGUGGCGAAGGCGGCAUCCUGGACCGACAUUGACGCUGAGGAGCGAAAGCGUGGGGAGCGAACAGG